UACGUAGGGGGCUAGCGUUGUCCGGAAUCAUUGGGCGUAAAGAGCGUGUAGGCGGCCAGGUAGGUCGGUUGUGAAAACUGGAGGCUCAACCUCCAGACGUCGACCGAAACCAUCUGGCUAGAGUCCGGAAGAGGAGAGUGGAAUUCCUGGUGUAGCGGUGAAAUGCGCAGAUAUCAGGAAGAACACCCGUGGCGAAGGCGGCUCUCUGGGACGGUACUGACGCUGAGACGCGAAAGCGUGGGGAGCGAACAGG
rnacentral:rRNA from 1 species